GUGUUCACUUUGGCAGCACAUAUACUAAAAUUGGAACAAUACAGAGAUUAGCAUGGCCCCUGUGCAAGGAUGACAUGCUAAUUCGUGAAGCGUGCCAUAUUAUU
ensembl:snRNA U6 U6 spliceosomal RNA